GAUCCCUUCUCUGGAGUUUUGCAGCAAGCCCAGGUCACAGGUCUUCUCCAAAGCAAAGUUUUCUGCAAGAGCCAUCCGUUCUCCAUCUUCUCACCCCAAGCACAGAGAUGAAGAUCUUUCUUCUCUUACUUUUAAGAAAGGACUUCGCAUUAAAAAACAGGAUGAAGAAAUGGACUUGCUCAACAGGGGAAACAGUAAAAAUUACACACAGCGAAGUGCUCUAGGUGCAUGAACUAAUCAAACAAGAGAAAGC